rnacentral:rRNA from 1 species
ACGCUCGACACCUACGGGGGGCAGCAGUGGGGAAUAUUGCACAAUGGGGGAAACCCUGAUGCAGCGACGCCGCGUGAGCGAAGAAGUAUUUCGGUAUGUAAAGCUCUAUCAGCAGGGAAGAAACUGACGGUACCUGACUAAGAAGCACCGGCUAAAUACGUGCCAUCAGCCGCGGUAAUCUGAGCGGGCUGGCAAGGC